rnacentral:rRNA from 1 species
UUAAGCGACUAAGCGUACACGGUGGAUGCCCUGGCAGUCAGAGGCGAUGAAGGACGUGCUAAUCUGCGAAAAGCGUCGGUAAGGUGAUAUGAACCGUUAUAACCGGCGAUGUCCGAAUGGGGAAACCCAGUGUGAUUCGUCACACUAUCGUUAACUGAAUACAUAGGUUAACGAGGCGAACCGGGGGAACUGAAACAUCUAAGUACCCCGAGGAAAAGAAAUCAACCGAGAUUCCCCCAGUAGCGGCGAGCGAACGGGGAGCAGCCCAGAGUCUGAAUCAGCUUGUGUGUUAGUGGAACGGUCUGGAAAGUCCGACGGUACAGGGUGAUAGUCCCGUACACCAAAAUGCACAGGCUGUGAACUCGAAGAGUAGGGCGGGACACGUGGUAUCCUGUCUGAAUAUGGGGGGACCAUCCUCCAAGGCUAAAUACUCCUGACUGACCGAUAGUGAACCAGUACCGUGAGGGAAAGGCGAAAAGAACCCCGGCGAGGGGAGUGAAAAAGAACCUGAAACCGUGUACGUACAAGCAGUGGGAGCACCUUCGGGUGUGACUGCGUACCUUUUGUAUAAUGGGUCAGCGACUUAUAUUCUGUAGCAAGGUUAACCGUAUAGGGGAGCCGCAGGGAAACCGAGUCUUAACUGGGCGUUAAGUUGCAGGGUAUAGACCCGAAACCCGGUGAUCUAGCCAUGGGCAGGUUGAAGGUUGGGUAACACUAACUGGAGGACCGAACCGACUAAUGUUGAAAAAUUAGCGGAUGACUUGUGGCUGGGGGUGAAAGGCCAAUCAAACCGGGAGAUAGCUGGUUCUCCCCGAAAGCUAUUUAGGUAGCGCCUCGUGAACUCAUCUUCGGGGGUAGAGCACUGUUUCGGCUAGGGGGUCAUCCCGACUUACCAACCCGAUGCAAACUACGAAUACCGAAGAAUGUUAUCACGGGAGACACACGGCGGGUGCUAACGUCCGUCGUGAAGAGGGAAACAGACCGCCAGCUAAGGUCCCAAAGUCAUGGUUAAGUGGGAAACGAUGUGGGAAGGCACAGACAGCCAGGAUGUUGGCUUAGAAGCAGCCAUCAUUUAAAGAAAGCGUAAUAGCUCACUGGUCGAGUCGGCCUGCGCGGAAGAUGUAACGGGGCUAAACCAUGCACCGAAGCUGCGGCAGCGACACUAUGUGUUGUUGGGUAGGGGAGCGUUCUGUAAGCCUGCGAAGGUGUGCUGUGAGGCAUGCUGGAGGUAUCAGAAGUGCGAAUGCUGACAUAAGUAACGAUAAAGCGGGUGAAAAGCCCGCUCGCCGGAAGACCAAGGGUUCCUGUCCAACGUUAAUCGGGGCAGGGUGAGUCGACCCCUAAGGCGAGGCCGAAAGGCGUAGUCGAUGGGAAACAGGUUAAUAUUCCUGUACUUGGUGUUACUGCGAAGGGGGGACGGAGAAGGCUAUGUUAGCCGGGCGACGGUUGUCCCGGUUUAAGCAUGUAGGCUGGUUGUCCAGGCAAAUCCGGAUAAUCAAGGCUGAGGUGUGAUGACGAGGCACUACGGUGCUGAAGUAACAAAUGCCCUGCUUCCAGGAAAAGCCUCUAAGCAUCAGGUAACAUCAAAUCGUACCCCAAACCGACACAGGUGGUCAGGUAGAGAAUACCAAGGCGCUUGAGAGAACUCGGGUGAAGGAACUAGGCAAAAUGGUGCCGUAACUUCGGGAGAAGGCACGCUGGUGUGUAGGUGAAGUCCCUGCGGAUGGAGCUGAGACCAGUCGAAGAUACCAGCUGGCUGCAACUGUUUAUUAAAAACACAGCACUGUGCAAACACGAAAGUGGACGUAUACGGUGUGACGCCUGCCCGGUGCCGGAAGGUUAAUUGAUGGGGUUAUCCGUAAGGAGAAGCUCUUGAUCGAAGCCCCGGUAAACGGCGGCCGUAACUAUAACGGUCCUAAGGUAGCGAAAUUCCUUGUCGGGUAAGUUCCGACCUGCACGAAUGGCGUAAUGAUGGCCAGGCUGUCUCCACCCGAGACUCAGUGAAAUUGAACUCGCUGUGAAGAUGCAGUGUACCCGCGGCAAGACGGAAAGACCCCGUGAACCUUUACUAUAGCUUGACACUGAACAUUGAGCCUUGAUGUGUAGGAUAGGUGGGAGGCUUUGAAGCGUGGACGCCAGUCUGCGUGGAGCCAACCUUGAAAUACCACCCUUUAAUGUUUGAUGUUCUAACGUUGGCCCCUUAUCGGGGUUGCGGACAGUGUCUGGUGGGUAGUUUGACUGGGGCGGUCUCCUCCCAAAGCGUAACGGAGGAGCACGAAGGUUAGCUAAUCCUGGUCGGACAUCAGGAGGUUAGUGCAAUGGCAUAAGCUAGCUUGACUGCGAGCGUGACGGCGCGAGCAGGUGCGAAAGCAGGUCAUAGUGAUCCGGUGGUUCUGAAUGGAAGGGCCAUCGCUCAACGGAUAAAAGGUACUCCGGGGAUAACAGGCUGAUACCGCCCAAGAGUUCAUAUCGACGGCGGUGUUUGGCACCUCGAUGUCGGCUCAUCACAUCCUGGGGCUGAAGUAGGUCCCAAGGGUAUGGCUGUUCGCCAUUUAAAGUGGUACGCGAGCUGGGUUUAGAACGUCGUGAGACAGUUCGGUCCCUAUCUGCCGUGGGCGCUGGAGAAUUGAGGGGGGCUGCUCCUAGUACGAGAGGACCGGAGUGGACGCAUCACUGGUGUUCGGGUUGUCAUGCCAAUGGCACUGCCCGGUAGCUAAAUGCGGAAGAGAUAAGUGCUGAAAGCAUCUAAGCACGAAACUUGCCCCGAGAUGAGUUCUCCCUGAGACUUUAAGUCUCCUGAAGGAACGUUGAAGACGACGACGUUGAUAGGCCGGGUGUGUAAGCGCAGCGAUGCGUUGAGCUAACCGGUACUAAUGAACCGUGAGGCUUAACCU